rnacentral:rRNA from 1 species
AUUGAACGCUGGCGGCAUGCUUUACACAUGCAAGUCGAACGGUAACAGGGUGCUUGCACCGCUGACGAGUGGCGAACGGGUGAGUAAUGCGUCGGAACGUGCCGAGUAGUGGGGGAUAACGCAGCGAAAGUUGUGCUAAUACCGCAUACGUACUGAGGUAGAAAGUGGGGGACCUUCGGGCCUCACGCCAUUCGAGCGGCCGACGUCUGAUUAGCUAGUAGGUGAGGUAAAGGCUCACCUAGGCGACGAUCAGUAGCGGGUCUGAGAGGAUGUUGCGCCGCACUGGGACUGAGACACGGCCCAGACUCCUACGGGAGGGAGCAGUGGGGAAUUUUGGACAAUGGGCGAAAGCCUGAUCCAGCCAUGCCGCGUGGCUGAAGGAGGCCUUCGGGUUGUAAAGGACUUUUGUCAGGGAGGAAAUCCCUAGUGCUAAUAACACUGGGGGAUGACAGUACCUGAAGAAUAAGCACCGGCUAACUACGUGCCAGCAGCCGCAGUAA